rnacentral:sRNA from 1 species
UAAUGAUAAUGAAAAAGGAGCUAUGCGUCAACAUAGCCCCUAUGUAGAACCGUUAAAAAGACGGUGACUGUUAUAAUACGGAUUUAACC